AGAAAAAAGAGAGAUGAGAGAAAACUGAAGAGAAGGAAAAAAAAAAGAGAGAAGAGGAAAGGAAAAGAGAGGAAAAAAAAAAGAGAGAAGAGAAGAAAGAAGGAAAAAAAAAAACUGAAGAGAGGAAAAAAAAAAGAGAGGAGAAGAAAAAAAGAGAGAAGAGGAAAGGAAAAGAGAGGAAAAAAAAAGAGAGAAGAGAAGAAAGAAGGAAAAAAACUGAAGAGAGGGAAAAAAAAACUGAAGAGAGGAAAAAAAAAAAAAAAGAGGAGAAGAGACGGGUUGACGGGUUGUACACGGGUUGACACGACCCGUGACACGACCUGUUUAAUAAACGGGUUAGAUAGGUAUUAUAGCGGGUUAGCGGGUUGACCCGAAACCCACCCGUUUAUUAAACGGGUCAGAACGGGUUGACCCGAAAUUGACCCGUUUUUUUAUCGUGCGGGUUGAACCCGCUAAUUUCUUGUGCGGGUUUCGAGUCGUGUAUCGGGUCGUAUCCGAAAUUGCCACCCCUACUUCUAUGACAUACUAUUAACAGUGUACUUCUAUAACAUAAUAUUAACAUAUUUUCAGUAACAAAGCAUACUCUAUAUUUUGCUCUAUAUAUAGUUGUGCACUUGAAGUUUAUGAUAUGCAGAAUGUGAUUUUUACUAGGAAGAUAGUUCUAUGACAUAGCAUUAACAUUGUACUUUGUUUUUCUUGUAGAUGUAUUUCCUUUUGCCUUUGUAAUUGUUUCUGGUGAAACUGUGGACAAUUGGAGGUGGUUUCUGCAAAGGAUAUCAGAUGUCUUGUUGGGCUUUUUUGGGGGUUUUUUUUUUUUUUUUGGUUGAGUUUUUUGUAUAAAAUGGUAUUAACAAUAUACUUCUAUGACAUGGUAUUAACAAUGUACUUUUAUGAUAUGGUAUUAACAAUGUACUUCGAGCUUGCUAUGCUUGUUUUGGGUUUUUUUGGUGGCAAUCAUGUAAUUUAUAGGAACUUCAGUACUUAUUUCUUAUGUAGUAAAUAUUUUUUGGGUAUGUUUCUAAAUUGUAUUCCAUAUGGGUUUUUUUUAUUUUUUUUAUUUAUAAAUUUCAGCCUCUAUUUUGGGUAUAUUACUAAAGCUCCCAAUAAAUUUUAGAAGAUAAUCUCUUGAUUUGAGUCCAAAUUGGGUCAAUUUCAAAUUUCUUUUAUUUAUUUUAAUUUGAUUAUUUUUGUUUUCGGGCUAUUUGGGAGUACUUUUGAAAAUGCUAAGCGCUUCUAAUAGUGUUGGAGAAAAAAAAAUUAUAAGUGCUUUGGAGUCACAAAUGCGCUUUAUAGGUGAGUCUUCAAGAAUCAUUUCAAAAAAUUUGGAUAUUUAAUAUAUAAAAAAUUGACGUUCUUUAAACAAAAGUGCUUCUACAAAAACUCUUAAGAGUAGAAAUGGUGCCUAAAACGUAGUCUAAAAUGAGCAAAUUGUUUAAUUUUUGUUUAUUUUAUUGACAUUAUCCUAUGUUUGGAUGGAGGAAAAUAACUCGGAAUUUAGCUAAAAGUCGGGAAUUGAAGAGAAGAAAUUAGUAUUUCCAUUUUUUUAGCAACUUAAGGAUGAAACUUAAUAAAUGACAAGCGGAAAAAAUCGUGGAAAUUAGGGAUCGAGAUUCUCAAGUUUAAUUUCCUCCAAAAGAGGCGUCAUUUUGGAAUUUCUAUUGAGCCAAAAUUCGUUUUUCACUGUAAUUUCUGCCAUUUACAAAAUUCGACAUACAUAAAUCCAAACAUUGAAAUUAUUAAUUGCUAAAAAUUUAAACCGAUGUAGAUUUAAAUUCUGUCAUUUUAUAAUUCUAUGCAAUUUUUAAUUCCUUGAUUCAAAUGGAGGGUUAACAAUGAGUAACAGGUAAAAGAGAAAUUAAACAAUUAGUGGCAAGUACGAAGAAAUCAAGUACAAGACAGAGCAUAUUAACAAUCAAUAUAAAGCUUUCUGUUGGAGAACCACUAUUUCUAAGAUAUUUAUCAGUAGCAUUGAUCUCUUGUAGAAAACAAAAUAGCAGUUUGGUGUUUUUAACUGUCAACUAACAGAUGCCAUGCAAGUCACAGCUGCAAAUGGGGUGUUGGCAAAUGGCAAAGUGGCGAUUGGCAAUGGCCGGCACACAAGAAGACCGACCCAGAAGAUACUCAAUGAUUGAAUCUCUCUGAUCUGUCAAAAAAAUUAAAGACAUUAAAAAGAAAGCUUCAAGCUCAAGCUCAAGCUCAUAGCUAGCUAGCACUUACGUGGUUGGAGGGCAGGUGUUUAAUUAUUAAUUAAAUAUCAAUAAAAAGACUCACAUUUCUCUUCAUUUUGAUCAUCCCCUUUUGCAUUAAUCACAUCUUUGAUCUCAAAUUCUCAGUCCCCAUAUGGCAAACCCACCUGAGAAAUUGGCCUCAAUUCACGAAGUUUCUACACCACCGGAAGAGAGUUAUGAUGACUUUGAUGAGGAAGAAAUAGCUCCAUCUUCUUCUUGUGGUUGUUUAUGGGGAUUUUAUUUUAGAGCACUGCGUGGAAGAAGCAACAUUGGAACACAGAGAUAUCUACUGCAACAACAAGGAGGAGAUCAAGUAAAAGAAAAUUGGUUGGUGGAGAAUGCGAAGAAAGUACGAGAGUUUUCGGAGGUUUUGGCAGGACCAAAGUGGAAGAAUUUCAUCCGCUCCUUCAGUACAAUUUACAAGAAAAGAAGGGUGCAAUUUCAGUAUGAUCUGCAAAGCUAUGCGCUUAAUUUCGACGAUGGGGGGUUUGACAGGGAAAUAGAGGGUAAUUCUUAUCUUCAUUUUUCGAAUGCCGGAUAUGCAUCUUGUCCAGGGAUGAACAAUGCCAAGUUCUGAUUUGCUAACACUCCCUGUCCUCAUGUUUGCUGUUGUUGCUCUUGCACAGUUUUAUAUGUGUUUCACGUAUAGAUUAAAAUGAGCUACUUGUUUGUUUAUAGAGAUUGUUUAUUAUUCACUCUUUCAUUUGAUCUGUUUCUGACAAAUUUAUGAACAGCUAUAUUUUGCCAGUACUUGAUUGUUUUAUGAUACUUCUUGUGUAUAAUUCUCUGGGCAUAUUUUCUAAAGUUCUGUUUCUUGUUAUGUUCUGUUAUCUGAUUUCUGUGGUAGUUGCCUCAGCUUCUCCAAACCAAUGCCAUCUAGAGAAAUUGGUGCAUGGUUUUUGCACAUACCUCUGCACCAUUAUAUACCGAGUCACUUCACAACACAAUCAAAAGAAAUUGAAACAUGAAGCAGCAUGAUCCAUGCCAUCUGGUUGUACGAAAGAGCGUCAACGAGGCCACUUUAAAAAUUUACAUACCUUUAUUUACUACAAAUUCAUCUCUACAACAAAAUGCCAUAAAGAAAAGCUAUAAUUUAAUUUAAUCACCAGUGUGAUGUAUGUAAGGAACCAUGCUCAGGUCAUUGCACUGUACACCCACCACAACCCCACUUUUCUUAUUCACAGACAUGAAGAUCAUAAACAAAAAAUUGUAAGCCCUCCAGUGGACUAUCCAAUUCAGAUUCAGUAACAUAAUUCCUAAAUACUGAACUCCUAAUGAUAUAUGAUACUACAUGCAUUUGAUCCACCUGCAGCCUUUGAGCAUACCUGUAUAAUGGCUCAUAUUCAGUUUAUCAUCCCAAUCUCAUAAUCAGUGUUAGCCUUUUUCUUUCUGUAGAAUCAAAAUACGAUUCUUUCACUUCAACCCUGUUGUCUUCUUCCAUGAAGUCCUAUGCUAUCACAGUUUCUAUGUUGAAAUUACGGAUGUAGUGGAAGCAUGAACAAAUAAUCAUUCCAGGAAUGGCUCUCGUUUCCUUUUCUCCAUUCAUCCGAAUCGAUCACUGCUGUUUUCACCUGCAUUACUUCUUUUUGAAUUAAGGUUGGUGGGACGCUCAUGAGAAAUUUAAAGUUCAGAAGAAUGCAAGGUUCAAUGAAUAUACCUUUUACGUUUGCUCUUCAAAACUGUGGAAGUUGAAGGAUUGCUGUGCCAGUUCCUCUUCCUCUGAUUGAUGAACCAAUUGUUUAUCUGCUUUAAUUGCAAACCAGUUUCCUGUACCAACCUAGCCUUGUCUUCCUCCUGAAAAUUUAUAUGAAAACCAUGGUAGUUAGGUAUCGAAGGGCAAAAUGUGAAUGCAGUUGGCUUACUAAAGGAUUGCCAAAGCAGUUUCAGCUUGUAGGCUAGGCUACAAUUUUACAUUUAAACCUGUUUAUAUGUGUUCAUCUUUAAGUAAGUAUUCUAAAGACUCCCACAAGCCUACAAGCAUGGCAGGAAAACCAAAAGACUUUCAAAUCAUAAGCAUGCAAACUCAAAGAGCUUCUCAUUAACCUAUACUUACAGUUGGAUAUGGCCACUUUGAAUGUGAUUGCCACCAAGCUUUUAGCACAGAGGUGGUGUCACCAGGAAGCUUUCCAGCUCGUCUCUUGCGCAAAAUUUCCUCCCGUAUGUCUACGAUUUUCUCCUUGUAACCCUGUGAAAAGUUUGCUUAGAUUGGUAACAGAGGAAAUGCAACAGAUUUACACUCAACAAUUCCAUUUUGUCACCUGCUUCAGCUCAUGCUUCAACUCUUGCCUCACACGCUCCAUCAACGACCUUUCGCUCUCUGUCGGGAUAAGAGGGCCGAAUCCCAUGCUGUCAUGACCCUCCAUGCUUCCAUCAAACAAGUUUGCAUCGCUGUCGACUUGGUCGUCUUCAUCAUCAGACAUCGUAGCACCCGUGCCUUCACCGGGGGAAACUCCUGUUCAUCCAGUUUGUAUAAGAAACUAAAACUUCGGUGCUCAAGAGCCAUGAUCACUACCAUUACAUAAAAAAACAUUACCUGUUAAGCUUUGUAGUGAUUGCUCAAUCUCCCAGCAAGCCAUCACUGCUUCCAUGGCAUGCACCCGGACAUGUUGUUGCAGUUGUUCUUUAAAAGAACAAAGCAACAAAACAUAAUGCCUCUAUAAAAUCAUCAACAAGCAGAAACAAUCAGAAACUAUCAAAAUUAAGUUAACAUAUUGUUAAUUAUGGUAAUUGGGUUUAAGCUUAAGGAUCAAGUGAAGAACAUCAGCAAAUGACUUUGCAGAGAGCAAGAGUUGUCUUGUUGUGGUAUGAAUAUCAGCUUUUGUCUUCCCGCAUGUUUAUUUUUUUCUUUUGUUAUAAAAAGCUGGGGUUGUGUCACUCGAGACUCGCUUUUAUUAUGUUUAAAUUAUAUCUGUCAGCACCACCACUGUCCAUAUCUUGUAGCCUUAAAGCUUUUUCAGAUCCCUAUACCCCUAUUUUUUCAAAAUCUUCAGGAAUCUCAUUAUUUCUUCUCAUGGCCAGAAACAUUUCAACCAUGCCAAGUCCUUCCCUUGUGCCACCAUCUCCAACCCAUCUUGAAAAUUAAAUCCCAUAACUUUUUUGUUUUAAAUUCAACAAUUUAAACUUAACCGCAAUACUUAGGAUCUGUUUGAAACUGAUUCUAAAAUUCUUAAAAGCGUUUUUUGACAAUCAAAAUUUCUUUCGUGCAACACAGAACAAAAUUUCUCGAUUCUCGUUAACUCUACCCAAAAUUGAAGAAAAAUUUCUCAUUUCCAAAGUGCAGAAUUUGUAAAUACUAAAAUUCGUCUGUCCUACUAUAAUCUUACUAAUUUGUGUUCUGAUUGAAAUUAUGAUGCUUAAUAAUUGUUCCAAUUUUUAAAAUAUUCUUUAUAGUCGAUUGGCCAAAUUUGAUGACUCAUUAACAAUUCAAAGCCGAGAGACACAAGUCAGCAAAUUAAGUCAUCACAAAUUCACACAAGCAAUCAAAAAAAAAAAAAAGGCAUACCAUGAACUGAUCAAGCUCCUUAUCAUCGCCCACCAUGCCGUGGCCCAAAGCCGAGUACUUAGCCACCACAUUCUGCGACUGAGCCAGCUGGGCGUCGAUCCUCGGCAGCUGGUCCACCGGCGUGGCGAUCCGCAGGCACGCCACGUGUGCCGACAGCAGCGGCUCGUACAGCGGGUGUGCCAGAAUCUCCGCCUUGUGCCUUGCGUUCUGCCAGUUGAUCAUUCCGCCGUCUCCGCCGCCGCCGCCGCUCUCCACGACGAUGUCUGUCUUGUUGAGGCUGCUGUCGGGCUUGAGGUCGGCGGAGUCGUGGGAGAUGGUGGCGGCAAUCAUGGAGUCGCCCGCGACGGCGGUGACGUCAUCGAUGACGUCGCUAUGGUUGCGGUGGAGGAUGGGGCGGUGGGGCUGUGAGAGCCAUUGGUUGGAGGCCUGGGAGGUGGUGGAGUCGGAGGCGGUGACGUGGAGGUUGAGGAAAUUGGAAGCGCCGCCGCCGCCGUUGUUGUUUGGGCUGUUGUUGUGGUUAUUGUUGGCGUCUGCGUUGGUGUAGUUGCGGAGGAGGGCGGUGUUGAGCCAAUUUGGGGCGGGCUGAAAUGGGUGGUGGGGCUCCGUGGGCUUGGAGUUCGGGUCGUGUUGGUCGGAUUGAAAUGGCUGAUGCUGUUGUUGGGUUUGGUCUGUGAAGUGGUGGAGAGGAAGGUCCUGCUGGGAGAGGUGGUUGUGGUAUGCCAUGAUCGACGAUCAGCUGAGUAUUAAAGUAAUUGCAGAGACAGAGACAGAGGACACUCUGUUUCUCUGUGUUUUACAAAUUAAAAAGGAGCAAUUGUAGAAGAUGAUUCUGAGGACAUGGAUAUGAAAAUUUAGAAGCUUUCUGAGAGUCUGAGAAGAUAGGAGAGAGAGACAAGACAAAGAUAUAUGGCUGGAUUUGAUUAUAUCUAUCUCUCUGUGUAGAGAAACUACACGGUGUGUGUGUAGAAACUUAGAGAGAGAGAGAGAGAGAGAGAGAGAGAGAGAGAUGCGAGCUUUUUUGAGUUUUGGGGAGAGAGAUAUUGAAAGGGUUUAGUUAAAGCUUUGAGAGCUUAUAUAUGGGAUGGUACCAAAAACGUAUAUGAGGAAAUUGAGGAGCUGUUUAGACAGAGAGAGGUUUUUGGACAGAGUGGUUUUCAGGCAAGCAAAAUGAGCUCGAGAAACUGCUUUAGCAAGAAAAAAAAUGGUGGGAUUUUGUGGCAGGUUUUAAUAUUAAUUAAGGAGCCAAGGAGCCCAAGGGUCCCCUAUUACUAUUAAACGAAUAUUUUAUUAUUAUUAUUUCACAAUAUGAUAUAGGAGUUGAAAGAAUAGAAAAUUCGGAUCAAAUAGUUGAUUUUAGAAUAUAAUGGUAUUUUAAUUUCUUUACAAAGAAAAAUAAUGGUAUUUUGAAUCUAAUUAAGGGUAGCAAAGAUUUCUUUAAUUAAGAAGCAAAAUGUUUGGGUUUGAUUGAGUGAAAUUUUAUAAGACCACUUAUUAUAUUUUUUUCCCCCAUUUAACAUAAUAUAUGAGAUUUACUAUUCGGGUAGGUUUUUUUUUUUUAACGGACUAUUCGGGCAGUUAUUAUCAAUCCACCUUUCACUUUAUGAGAAUAAUACUAGUCUUACCACAUUUUUAUAUUACAUGAUGUGGCAGCUGAUAUGUACAUGCCACAUCAGUUAAUUAAUAUGAUUAAUACUUUUUAUUCAUUUAUUAAAAUAUAUUUUAUUGAUUUAAUUAAUGUGACAUAUGAUAUGAAUAUGCCACAUCAUUUAGUACAAAAAUAUGAGAUAAAAAUGUGUUAAGUAUAGCAUUACUUUAUUUUUAAUUUAAAAAAAAAUUCACAACCAGAAGUUAGCAUAGGAAAAAAAGAACAAAAAGUAAAAUAACUCAAUGAAAAUCUUGGCAUAUUAUUAUCGUUGAUGGGGGAUUAAUUUAAUAAUCACUGAUAUGAUGUUUACUUUUGUAUGAAACCCCAAUAAAUAAAGAUGAUAAAGUUUUGUCCAUUUGCGUAGACUUUUUAAACAUCCAUAAAUCGUAUGCGAUUUGAAAUUAGAUGAACUAUUAGAAUUGAAUUAGAUAUUUGUCUAGAAUGAUACAGAAUAUUAAUCCUUACAAAAAAAAAAAAAAAGGUUUAACAUAAUCAAAUAGUUAUUACAAUUAGAACGGAGCUUAAACACGAAAUAAUACUCUAAGUAAAUGCAGCUUAAUCCAAAAUUGUGACCGGUAAUAUCGUGAUUAAAUUUUGGAUUAGAUGAAGAUGAGGCAUGGGGAGACUAAUUUAGCUAAAGAAGUUGCCUACACAAUCCUAAAAUGGUAACAAUUGCAUCAAAGUAGAACCAUAUAAAACAUUUCAACCCUCUCAAUCAAUAGCAAAAUUAAAGUGGUUUUGUGAGAGGACACACUCACCACCCCAAAGUUACUCACACGUGAUCGUCAUACUCGAAUAUUUUGAUGCCAAAACAAUUUGGAUUAUAGAAAAAGCAAUUUUAACACUCCCUCCUCUCACUCCACUACCAUAUGCAUGUAAAAGCAACUUCCCAAUUACGAAAGUACACAAACUGUAUCUAGAAAACGCCCUUAUUAGUUUAUAUUUGUACUGAUUAGUAAUAGUAUCCCACAACUCUUGGAGCGUGCCGUCCACGUCACCCUAGCUAGCGUGGCCAACUACCAAUCUGGACCAUCCAACCACAAAGGCGAUGUAUUGCUCAAAACGGCACCGUAUAAUCACAGGCUUACUGGCUACUGGCUACCGGCUACGGCCGGUGAAGGGGAGAAGAGGAGCCGAGGAUCGUAGAAGGAGGGGAGUCGGGACCAUGAAUUACGUCGCUCCUCUCUCCGGCACUCGCGGGAAAACGACGCCUCGACACGCGUCGUGCGCUGCUCGCUUGGACCACGGCGAUGGGACCCGCACCAAGCACGCGCCAAAACGAGAGAAUCGCAACCUUACACGUGGCGUGCUGUGAGAAGCGGGACCAGUGAGAAUUUUUGACUUCUCUGACAGCCGCCGGCUAAAUCAAUUCGAGAUGUGGUCCCCUUUGUGGGAUGCGGUCCCCACUUUCGAGCCCGGUGGGCCCCAAAAUGGCAAGAUUAGGAAAAGGGUUCUAAAAAAAAUACAAAAUAAAAACGGUGAGGGCCCACUUGGGGGGAGAGCGGGUGCUGCUGUGUGUGGCGUUUAUGGCGAACUGUUCACCUACAUGGCUAAUAAAACUAAAAGGCAAAUGGUCCCCUACCUAGUUGCUCUUUGUAUUUUUCAUUUUUAUUAAAUAUUUUUUCAAUUUUAAAUUUAUUUACUGUUAUAUUUUGUUUGCGGAAAUCCCAAAAUUUGAACUCUAUAUAGAGUCAGCUAUUUAUACACAAUUACAACUUGAGCUGAAAUUUACUUUCUAAAGGCCAGUUUGAUUUUUGUUUUUUGUUUUUUGUGCUAUGAUAUAAAGGAAAAUAAGAGCUAUAAUGGAAGUGAGGAUGAGAUGGGAGGAUGGGAGGGAGAAGUAACAAAUGUGAAAAUAAUUUCAAAUAGAUUUCAAAUUUUAAAUUUUGUUUUCACUUUUGUUACUCCUCUCUCUCAUCUUCCACUCUCAUCACUCCUCUCUCCCAUCUCUCACUCGUAUCUUUCCUAUCAGUCUAAUCUCCACUCUCAUUCUCAUUUCCAUUCUAACUCUUUUUUUUCCUUUAUAUUAUGGCACAAAAUAAAAAAAUUUGAAAUGGUUAUCAAACAGGCUCUAAAUUUGUCCAUUUAAUUAUAGAGGGACAGCCAAUAGCGGAAAUAUGUUUAAAUAUACGUUCAACAUCCUCGUUUCACCAAACCAAAUUGAAGAUGUAAUGAUUCAAUUCAAGUGUUUUAAUCUUAUCAUACAACUUUACUACAUUAUUGUUGUACAGAACGAAUACUUGUCCUCAUUUUUCUUUUUCACCCCUACAAUCUCUCAAUUUUAUUCAUUUUAAAUAUAAGUGAUUCGAACAUACGACCUCGGUUGCAGGAAUAACUACUUAAUUACUUGAGUUAUAAGCUCCUUGUCAAUUUUAUUUCUAUUUCUUUGACAAACAACACAAUUUACAUUCUAGUGAUUUAAUUAAAAUUAAUCUCAGAUCAACAGGAAAAAAAAUCAGCAAAAUCAAUGAAUGGGUGCUUCUGUUUGCACCCACUACUAAUAUUAUCAUAUCAUAUGGUUCUUACCCAUUUUAAAAUUAUUUAUUUAAUUUGAAAAAAAAAAUGAAGAUAGAUAUCCUUUGUUCUAUCCCUUGCUACCAUCUUUUAAGCUCAUAAUUCUAUAUAUAGAUAGAUAUUGUGCGGUUCCUACGUACGUACCUUCACUUUAUGGGACAUAAUCUUAUACUAGUUAAGAUAAAGCCUCGAGAUGAUUAAAAAACAAUUAGACCCUAAACCUAUUUUAUAAUUCUGAAGCGACAAAAGAAGAAAGUAUAUUCUAUGGCAUACGGUCUUGGCUUUGGAUAAGGACUGGUAGAAAUUUAAUGUCAAGUAUGACUUUGAUUUCCUAAUACUUUACAAUAUUAUGAUUUAAAAUAAGAGCCAUGUAUGUACAUAUGGUCCUACAUUUACCUCAUUGUCUUGCCUUCUCAACCAUCUUAAUUAGUAUUGAAUUACCUACACUCUACUCUUCCAUUCUCAAAUAUUCUUAGUUGAAAGGUCGAUGAAUGAGUAAAUUACUUCUAGGGUUUUGACUUAGGUAUGAAUUAAACCAUUUGAUUAUAGCGGGUUCGUAAACGGUACCUCUUUUUAGUAGUAAAAUCUACUUCUAGAUGUAAGAGAUUUGUAAUUCAAGUAUUUGAGGGCAGAUGUUCCCAAUAUUAUUUGUAUAAAAAUAUACUUUUAGGGUUUUAAUCUUGAGAUAUGAUAUUAUAUAUAAUCAGACUAAGAACUUCAUAUCUAUCCAUUAAUUCUCAAAAUCAAUUGUAAUUAUUCACGACACAAUAACAUAAUACGUCAAAUUGUCUAACCUAUGAGAUUAUAGUCCAAUGUUUUUGUCACAAACUAAUUGGAAAGACAAAUCUUCUCCAGUCAGAAAGUCUGACAUAUUUGACAAAAAAUUGUUAACAUAAAUCAUUGAUUAGAUGAUUAGUAUGUGUAUUAGUCUAUGCACUUUAAUUAGACUCGAAUUGAAAACGAAAACUAUCACGGUUUAAAAAAAGUAAAAGUAGGGGGUCAUAUGAAUGGGACAAUUUUACCAAUAUGAAACCCAGCUAAGACGGCUCUUGUCGCAUCUCAAAGAGUCAGUCGCUGUUCCAAGCCAUGCGUGCCUUUUAUAUUCAUUAUUCAUAUGUCAUUUCUUAAUUUUAUUUUAAUUAUAAUAAUAAUAAUAAUUUUUAUUUUAUGUCUAGACCUCAAUCUCAAUCGCUUGUCAGAUACUAUUUGUGUUUGGUUUGGCAAAAAGAGAAAGCAAAAGAAGAAGGCACUAUUUCUCUUUUUGGCAUCAACCCAACAACGCCAACAUUAGUUGGGGAUUAAGCAGAUUUGUUAAUAGAAGUUUCUUUUGCUGGUGACACCUAAUCCUUGGAUUAGAGAUCUUAAUCACCAUCCUUUUUCUGUUGUGGCACCCAAAAAAAAUCAAUCGAGUGUACCUGCAAUCACCAAAUUCCUAUUCAUUGCUUUGUUGAUCAUGACUUGGGAGUUGGUUCAUAAUAAUAAUAAUAAUUUUAAGGGAUCAUAUGCAUAUAUAUAAUUUUCAUUAAUCAUUUUCCACCGACAUUCAAAUUUAUAAAGCUCAAAGUUUUCGUUUGGAAUAAAGGGUAUUUCUCAAUAUUAAUGGCUUGGUCGACUAAAUAUUUGUGUUAAAAAGAAUACAAAAACAUAUGGGUAGUAGGAUGAGUAUUUUGAAAAUGAAAAAAAAAAAAAAAAACAUCACUAAACUAUACUCGUACCAUUAGCUUAUGAUAAUUGUGAACACAAAAUAAGUUGCAAGCACAUAAGCAAGAGUUUUGUAGAGACAACUGUAUACAUGUGUGUGAGUGAUUAUUAGUCGUCUAAUGUGAAUUUCACAAUAGAAUUCACACAAAUAUACAACUGACAAUUACUCAUAAACGCAUGAAAAUAUGUUUUCCUGUUUAAUAGCACAUAAGGGAAUGAAAUAGUUUGUGAGCUUCACAUUAUUAUCUGUAACAUAACGACUGGAAAAAUUACACUAUGAAUGUGUGUUGCAUGCAAUUUAAAAGGGUGUGAAGAAACAAUUUUUCAUUUUUUUCCAAGGACAAAAAAAAAUAUAUACAUAUAAACAGUUCGUGAAUGGUUGUGCAGUCUACACGUGUCAUGCUUCAAGCCCAAACGUUAAGAAUCAAUUGAGACGGUUUCGUAGGGCAUCCGUUACCUGUGACCUGCUCAACGUGUAAUUGGCGGGGUUGUCGAAGUCCAGCGAAUCACAGCCCGCCACAAGUUUCCGCUAGGGACGGGUUUCACACUGGGGCCCACACGUUUUACACGAGGCAACAAGUGAAACCCCAAGUGUGGUCCCCACAUGGAUGAUGCAUGCAUACGACACACUUUCACACUCACUAAUUGUAAAAAACCAAAUGGAUUUGCCAAAAACGUGUGAUUAGUCGUAGGUUGAUUGGUAGAUUGGUAGAUUGGUUGAUCAGGAAUUUGUGUGCGUUAAUUGUGUCUGCCAAGAUUAAGGUUCGUUAUUUUUUAAAUUAUAAGUGGAGCCCACUUAAUUAUGGAGGGGACAGGAUUUAAUUAGGGAUUUAGGAGGAGAGUGGAAAAGGUCUUGUAUAGGGUUUUUGUCUGUGUCCUUGUCUUUUAUAAUUUUUGGAUCCAAUUCUUAAUAAUUAGGGCGUACGUGGGAUGGUAGAUGGGAUUUGUGAUGAUUUGGAUUUUGUUGGCUUGUCAUAAAGUUUAUCGAGCUGUUAUUUGUUUUUUCCACAUUGUAUGCCGACUACUUCUACUCUAAUCCCUUUUCAAUACGUCGUUUGUAAAAUCAUAUUGUAUUUUAAUUAUUCAAAUCGUCUAAUUUUUAGAUAUUUUUUUUAAAGAUUAUUUUUGACAAAAAAUCAUUAGAAUUCAAAAUUAUUUGACAACUCAAUUAAAUAGUUGGUAUUUAUUGUUGUCUUUCCUUGAAGUACUGUGUUUGUUAAUUUUGUUGAUUCCAAUUAGAUGCCUUAAUGAUUUUUAAUUUGCCUGUCUUUUUACAAAGAUGAUCUAUAAAUAAAGACUUAAAAAAUAGACAGUUUAGAUCGUUAAAAAAAAAAAUUCAUAAGAAAUUCUAAAAGAUGUCCGUCGAAUAACGAAUCCCGAAAAAAAAAUUGUACUAUCUAUAUAUGCAAACGUGCAACAUAUUUACACAAUUGUACUCCUAGAAGAGGUGGUAUCUGCUGCACUCCUAAUUUCAUUGGAGUUUCGAGGCGCAUGUUGGGGUCCCAAUUGUGUGCUUCAAUGGUUGGCCUUGAGUACAUCAGGUGUAUGUAGGCUUAUUAUAAACAUUCUAAAAAGCGUACAUGUGUCUUGAAGUGGUACGGAUGAAUGACAAUAGUUAAUCUCAUGUGUUGCAAGUUAUGUUACGUAAACUGAGACCCUCAGCCCAAGCUCGUGUGUUUCGUUAACACAAAUGCAUUACUUUAACAAACUUCAAACUUUUUGACAUACUUUUUAUGAAAAUACGUGACAUGACUAUUAGAUAAUCUAAAUUAUAUUUGGCAUACAUCACGUCUCGAUCGACACCCUUGUCAAAUUCAUAUGUACUAAUUUUUGUCACCACAACAUCCCUUUCUUUUAUCAAUGGUUCUACCAAUUGAUACGUUUCCAUAAAUAAUUGAAAUUCACUUUCUUGAUCUAUAUCUUCAAUUCUAGGAACAACCCUCUUUACGUAUGUCAAUUUAUCUAAACUUAAAUGAGAGAUAUAUGUAUUUUCAUUAGAGUAAGUUUGGUGAGGUGAAUCGGUCUCCCUCAAUUAGUCCUAACGAAAAGAUUCUGAAUUUGACAGAUCCUCCAUCUUUGUAUAUAAAUAUAUAAUAUAAUAUACGUACAGAGAGUUUUAGUUUCGGAUAUCUCAAAAUAAGCUUAUUUGACAAAAUUUGUUACUUGUAAUUUUCAAAUAAUGCUGGAAAACAAAGUCCUCGUUGGUUUCCAAACUCGUAGUUAUCAGAUGGUGUCUGUGGGGUAACAUUCUUUUGGAAGAGACUUGGCAAAAAGGUCAAAGGAAGCAAGUAGGAAAAGCGAACCCCAUUGUGAAUUGAUGUUCAGGAAAAAGAAAAGAGGAAAAACCACUCGUGGAUUCUCAUUUGAUCAAAUACCCCAUUAUUGGUUCGUUUUGACCACUCCAUCUCUCCAUGCAUGAAUAUAUGAAAGUAGCUCAUGAUCUGACUGAUGAAAAUAUAUACCUAUUAUUCAAAAUCAUUGUUGUGCUUUUUCUUUUCCCAUUUAUGCCAAAUCAUUUUCUCUCCCAUUCAUUCGCAUCACCAAGCUACCAUAGCUAACCCUAGCUAGCUAGCCGAACAGAUGAAAUGGGCAUUAAGUUUAAGUGGAAUAUUUUGUGCUUGAUGCAUAGCGUGAUAAUUAGACCAACAGUUGUGAUCACAAACUUUUGUGAUGUGCUUGCCUUCCAAUAUUUAUUGGCAUUGAGUUGUCAUCGAACCCUAAAAUCAACAGGUAGUGAGUGGAACAACUCAGAACAUUAUGCAGAAUAAUAUACUUUAAAAAGGACAGAUGUACAAUUUUAAUUAGUUAUGGUGCGCGUGACGAUGAUGUUACCCCACACAAAGUAUGGGGUGGCCUUAUCCAGAGUUUGAAGAAACGUUUUUCUGUGUUUGGUAUUGAAGACAUUUUAUGUUGUACCCCGUUGAUGCUUGCUUAUCGAGGCGCACUUGUGGCUGAAAUCAUUGAGAAAAUGGUAUCAUUUGGGAACAAUUAUAGAGGGGAGAAUUUGGCAAAAAGUGAGAGAGUCCGGGGAAAAAUGCUCACAAGAAUUAUAAAUCAUACAGAAAUCGCAUAAUUGAGACAUGCAAUUUGCUGUGCUUAGAUUAGAUACGUGUAAUUCAGAAGAUGCUCUUCUACAUCUUCACCGUCAAUGCAUGCAUGCACGUAAUCUUGGGUUAAUUAGAGAGGGUUUUAAUUAAGGAUUGUAAGUAAUUAGGAUCAUGUUAUCUUGUUUGAACUUCAUGUUUUGUUACUGGGUUUUGGAGAUUAAUAGCUGGUUUUUUAAUAUGAUGAUGGGAUUAGGCAGUUGCUAAUUUUACCCACCUUCUUUUUCGACUUCAUGUUCCUUUGCCUCCUCUCUGGCCCCCCCUCCUCUAUCUCUUUGUUAGGCUUUCUUGCAUGGACCACAAAAACACUGAGCAUUUCGUGCAUGGACCACUCAACCACUCACCUCUACUUCACUGUGCUCCUUAACCCCACGCCCCACGCCCCACCCCCCACCCCUCCCCAAGAAAAAAAGACCAAAAAAAAAUGUCAAAAUGUUUGAAAGAUACAUGUGGGAAUCCAAUCUCUAUUCUUGACCUAGGCAUAUUUAACUGCCAAUGUUCCACCCAAUCUUUUAUAGCAUUUGUACUUGGUAUUGUUAAGAAAGGAGCUUGAUCUUUUUGUUAAAAUCCCCUCUAUCUAUCAAGGUCAUUGAAUAAAACCCAAUUGCUAAUUCUCUUUACUAUUGAGUUUUUGGGUGAUAAGGAAAUCGAAUACAAAACUUCAGAUCGAGAGGUGAAUGCUUUUGGGUGUGAGUCGCUAGAUAUGUUUAAGUAAAGUUGAAUGAUUGAGAUUUGAAUUUUCAAGUGAGUGAGAGAGAAAGGGAGAAAGAGGAAGGAGAUGAUCCACCUUUAAGAAAGUUGCUAAUUACAAUUAGCCUAGUUAAUUAAUAUCUCAUGUAAAAGAGUGCAAAGUAGAUAAUAUUUUGUUUUGCAAAGGACAGCUUCCGCUGGGGAAGCGUGAAAACUUACCAUCUUAGGCUGUAAGAAGAGGGAACAAAAGACCCAGAAUGGUAAAAAGGAAAAAGGACAGCAACUACAUAUAUAUAUAUAUAUAUAUAUAUAUAUAUAUAUAUAUAUAUAUACCCCACCAGCUCAAUUCAGCUAAUGUAGGCGAUAUUGAUAGAUGAUGAGGAAAAUAAAAGAAAAGAAAGCAACAAAAGGACAUAUAAUAGAGCAAAGCAAAGCAUGGUUUUGAUUUGAUCAUGUUUUGUUUAUUGCCCUUUCUUCUGUGAUGUCACACCAGCCAUCAGGUGCCUCACAACCCUUUUUAAAUAAAUAAAUAUUUUUUUUAGUACAAGUGAUAGUAAGAGAUGAGGUUUUCUCGCAAACACAACAUAGUCAUGAUGUUAUGAAGAUUCGAAUUUAAGACCUCAGUUGGCAAAUCAAUGCCAUUUUAUAUUUGGCUAGAUCUCGUUAGCGUUCUAAUUUUUUUUAUUAUUAAUCAGAGGCACUUGCCAACUUGAAUGAGCAUGAGUUUCCCUCCAAAAAGAGUUUCAAUUCAAAUGACCCUAUCUUUUAUUUUUUUUAUGAUGAAUUAAGUUUGUGUGCUGCUAUAUUGCAAGAGUGUUUUUGUCAAAUUCUUCUCACCAGUGAGAUUGAAAUUUGUGGACUUUAGGGAAGUUUAUUUUAUGCUAUUUGUCAAUGCAUGCCAAAGAAUAAAUCUAGGCCUUGUGGGAUGAAGCUUGACCUACUUUUGGAAAUUUUCUAGUUUUUGACAAAAUUUGUUCAGAAGGGCUGCUAAGGGAAUAUUGGCACAGUGAUCAUAAAUUUGGAAUAUUUUUCAAAGUACUAUGCAUGAAGAAAUUUGUGUAUGUAUCUAUGGAAAUUGAAAACAUUUUGACAUUUUUAUCAUUGUUUGGUGAAAGUUGUCAAAUAAAAUUGCUGACCACCAAAAUGCGACACUGAAAAUUAAUAUGUAUUAUUUCCAAUGUGUUGGCAUAUCAUCUUCAAAGUUAUCUUUCCUUGAAAGGCAACACAAAAUUGUCAUCAAACAUUACAUAAUGUUGGGUGCUGACAUCUUCCUCCCUCCUCAAUCUUCAGGUUCAUUCAUCCUUGUAUAUUCUGGGCUAGUUAGGCCCAUGCAACAUCUGGGUUUCACGCAUCCCCGACUAUCACAAGAGACCCAAAUAAAACGUGUGAGUACGAAACGAGUUAUAAACUCAUAUGUUUUAACUUCGAACUCUCACAUUGAUAAGAAAUUGGAUUGUAUUGUCUUGAAAAAGGUUUACAUAAAUUUAAGGAGGCGGGACAUAUGCAACAACAAAACAAGUUCACAUGUUACACACAUGUCAUUCUCUAUCAAAAACCACAAUUUAAAAAACACAUUCGUACAAAUUUACAAAUUUAUCAAUCACUUUCGUUUGUGUACCAUUCUAACUGAAUCACAUUUCCCACAAUUUUUUCUGGGUCACAUCGCAUUGUUUCAUUUUCUCUAUCUAUACACUGUUGCCGUACACCCAACUGCAAACCAGAGAAGGACCCUAUUUCAGGGUUCCAACUAGCGCCAUAGGCCCACCAAACAAGCCCAUGUUUACUGCUCCUUUCACCUAACCUAAGGAACAAUCCUAGUACCAACUAUCCCUAUAGAACUUCUAAUUUUAAUUUUAAAUUUUUUUAGGGUCGUAGCUGUUUAGCACUAUUAAUCAAAAGAGAUUUAUGUUAAGGAUAAAUACUCACUUCUAUCCGAAUCGUAUUAUAAGAUUCACUUACAUCAACGGCUGACAGUCACUCACGCACGCAUAAAUGACUGUUCAUAACAUAUCUUAUAAAACAAGUUUCACUUUUACAUGUACAAUUUUUUUUUUUUUUUUGCACACGUGUGUAAACGACGGACCGUAACAUUUCUUAUAAAAAAUGUUUCUUUUUUGAAAAACUUGUCUUACACGUGCAUGUAAGUUAUAAUCAAUCAAAUCGUUUGUCCUGGUCGACAUAAGAAAAAUGACUAUUAUUUUCCCUUUCUUCCAUGUAUGUAACUCUGUUUUGGAUAGAGAAUGACUCGUAUAGCGAACCCAUUGGGCAAUUAUAACAUGUUGAUGUACAAACAUCAUAGAAUUGAAUUGGUGAUGGGAUACAAAUGUGACCGCAUAAUGGAAGAAAGUCUCUCUCCCAACUCUUAACACAGUUGCAGGGUCAGGCUUUUAUCCCAUCUUUCACUUUCAUUACAUCUUCAUCACAGAGAGGCGUGUUCUAAAUUUUAAGUAUCAUUGCAAGUUGAAUUGAUUGCUAGAGCUAUCUUAUGUUUCCUUAUGCGUGCAUAAGCAAUUUUUAACCACUGAUAGAUGUAAAGUGUACAAUUUAUUUAUUAUUGUAUUUCACCACCGUCACGAGCCGCUGACACUAGCAAAUGAAAUUAAUCUUACUAUUUACUGUUUAGCAGCACAUGAAUUCUCUUUUACUUUUGUAUGUUGUUUUGUCUUUGAAAAUUAAAUUGGGAGAAAGUGAUUUGAGGUAUGGUCGGAGGAACCUCUUAAUUUGGUGGCUUGAGCAGUUGAGCUAAUACUGGUGGAGGCCACUUUUACAGCAUAUGACUGUCCCUUAAUAAUACCAUUGCCAAGGGGACCGUGGAAACGAAUCUUAUUCUUGUCAAUUUAUAUAAACAACAAGAAACAAUAACAUCAAUCAACUCACCAAAAUUUCCAAAUUUGUUCACAAGUUUUUUCCAAAACCUCCGAGAGUAGCAAAACUCAUGGGUCCAGUUGACGUACAAUAAUUUUAGGCUCAUUAAGAUGUUGUACAACUUUAAAUAAGUAUACAGGCUUAAAAUUAUUACAGAAAAGAAAUAUAAAUAACAACUGAUAAAAUCAUCGGUAACAUGUUCUGAAGGUUUUUUUUUAUUUUUAAAAUUACUCCGGUCGACUCGGGAGAUGUUUCAAAUUGAGUGAAGACAUAAGAAGCUGGCUGUGUUGAAUGUGCAAUUAGAGGAAGCAUUUUGAUCACCAAAAUCCGAAACAGAAAAUGUCAGCUGAGUAAAAUAUCUGAAAAUAUGAAAUUAUGGAAACUAUGGCUGUACUUGAGUUGAGAUAUACAAUUCUAUACCUUAAACUUCAACAGUGUGAAUGAUACUAAAAUUAUCCGGUCAUACCAGCAUGUUCCAUGAAGAAGAAUUAGAAGGCCAUCUGCAAGAGAGAUCACUAAUUUUAGACUGACAGAUAUUCAACAAAACAUGUCCAUGAAUAAGCUCAGAAGUCAAUUGUGAAGCAUUAUCAAGGAAAGAAUGAAACCUUCAAAUAAAUCUCCAAAUCAUUUCUGUGAUAUUCUGCGUCUGUCGCCCCACAAUCUGGAAUAUGCAAACCAAUUUCACACUCACUUCCCUUGUCCCUUACCCAAUUUCACAAACUGCUCCCCUCACUUCCCUUGUCCCUUACCCAAUUUCACAAAAUUUCACCGAGAAAUGGUUGUCCCUCAGCUACUUUCCAAAUGCUCUCCAGCUAAAGCAGGCAAGUGCAUGGAGCCUGUCGCCGUCUUGAGCUUGUCGCUUAAUUCAUCCAACACCGAGUAGAUCUCUUCUGAUUUAGGGUGUGUCUUGUCAGCAACAAGAAACUCAUGAACUACAUCACCAAUCUCAAUCAUGCUACAUCCAGGUAGCUUGCAAAAACUUGCGUCAACCAUUGCCUGUCUAACUGCUUCAACCCUGUCAAACCUUCCAGCUGCAGCAUACAUAUUUGCUAACAACACGUAGGAACCCCCAUCCAUUGCUUCUAAGUUGAAAAUAUGGUCAGCUGCCCACUCUCCCACCUCAAUAUCACCAUGAAUGCUACAAGCAUUAAACAGUGAUCCCCACACAAUUACAUUUGGUUCAAUAUCCAUCCUCUCAAUGAGCUCCCUUGCUUCUUUUAGAAGUGCAGCACGGCCAAGAAGAUCAACCAUGCAACCAUAAUGCUCAACUUUUGGGGUGAUCUUAUCAUUUUUCACCAUCGAAUCAAAGUAUUGCUUGCCUAUUUCAACCAAACCAGCAUGAGCACAAGCAUGUAAAAUCGAAAGAAAGGUUAUGCUAUCCGGAAUAGCACCUGAUUUUCUCAUCUCGUCAAAGAGCUCUAUUGCAGAUCCAGCCUGCCCAUUUGACGCAUAUCCAGAGAGAAUAGUGUUCCAUGUUGCAACAGUUUUUUUAUCCAUUUGAUCAAACACUUCUCUAGCUGCUUCAAUAGAACCGCAUUUUGCAUACAGGUCUACCAAAGAGGUCCCGAUGAACUCGUCCCAAAGUCCAUUCUUCUCUGCAAAUUUCCGAACCCAAUUCCCAAGAUUAAUAGCUCCGGUUUGGGCACAAGCAGACAACAAGCCUGAAAUUGUGUACCUAUCAGGCUUAACAUCCCAAAAACACAUAUCCUUGAAAAGAUCAAUUGCUUCCCUCGAAAACCCAUUAAGGGAAUAACCACUUAUCAAUGAGUUCCACACCACAGAAUUCUUCUCAGGCAUUCCCUCAAACACUCUCUUUGCAUAAUCUAAACAGCCACAUUUUGCAUACAAGUCAACCAUUGCAGCUCCCAGUUUCACACUUAACCCAAAAGUUACCUCUUUUCUCACAUACCCAUGAAUUUCUCUCCCAAGUUUCAAGUUUUUCGAUACCGUGCAAGCCGAUAUCAAUGCCAAAAUCGCGCCUUCAUUGGCCUCAACCUCUCCCACUUUCACCAUCUCCCUAAAAACCUCACAAGCUUCCAAAGCCAUCCCAUUUCGCGCAUAACCCAUUAUCAUGGCAUUCCAGAAAACAACAUCCUUCGCCUUAAAUUCAUCAAACACCUGCCUUGCACUCUCAAUUUUUCCGCAAACCCCAUAAAAGUUUAGCAAAGAACUACACAAAAACCUAUCCGAAUCAAACCCAAUUCUAACAACCACACCAUGAACCUCCCUCCCUUUCUCCACAGCCAAUUCACUAGCACAAGCUUUGAACACAAAAGGGUACGUGAACUGGUCGCCAACCGCAUUUUCGCGUACCCUCAUAUUGUUAUACAUUGAUAAAGCAACAAAUGGGGUUUCUGAUUGAGAAUAUGCUUUGAUCAUGGAAUUGUAAAUGAAGAUGCUUGGCUCUUGGGUUUGAACCAAGAUGCGUGUGGCGUAGUUCAGAGACUGAGGGAACAGGAAGGAAUUGGCGAUUUGGGUGAGGAUGAAAUGGUUGUAGGAAAGGCCUGAGAUUAUAGAUUUGGCAUGGAUUUGCUUCAGUUGAUUAAGGCUUGUGCAGGUUUCUAUGAGAGCUAGGAGUGACUUGGGUCCCUGAGUUUUCAUUAUAGCAUCAGUGGAUCACUGGGAAUUGUACCAGUUGUUCAGUUUAUGUCACUGUAUGGCGGCGGGGAAAUGAGGAGGGAAACAAGAGUCGUGCAAGGUUUUUUGAGUAACGGCAUUUCAAAAUAGAGACUAGUUUUGAUAACUCAUAAAAUCACAAUAAAAAUUUAGUUUUGACUUCAAAUUCCUUACAUAAUUAUCUAGAUAACAAUAUUUUGUGUUUGAUACCCAAUACAUAUUAGUGUAUUUUAAUAAUGCUUUUAAACAUUUGAUAUUCAGGUAACAUCAAUACAUAAUACUUCAAGAAAAGUGGCAUAACUCUUAGGAAAUAAUCAUUGAUCUGGUUUCGAAAUUAAACAAGACGUAAGAUAAAGACCACAAAUGUUUGUUAAAAAAUAAAGAGACCACAAUUGAUCAAUCCGACGACAAUAAUCACCUGCCAAAAUGUUUGUAAAAAAAAAGUAAAGCCAAAUCGAUAGGUUGAACAGGGUGACAACUUAUUUCACAACAUUGUACAAAAUUACAAUAUGAAUAUAAAUGUACAACAGAACACACCCUAAUAAUAAGAAUUUGUUUUCAGAAGUCGAUAAAAUGGAGGGAGGUUCCCCGGCGAAUCUCAAGAACACAUAACUAUAACUCCUGCCGCUGCCAAUAAAAAGCUGGCAUUGUUUACUGACACUGAAAGCAUUGUUCCUCUACUCUAACAUAGUACAUUUUGGGAGCUAAUCCAGCUGAUGUUUUUAGUGGGAAGAAUCAUCAUGCAGUCCCAACAACACGAACAUGAUAUGGGGGCCCACGGCAGAAAAUCGGCUCAUCGGAGGAUUUAGUUCUUGCGCGAGCCCUGAGAAUAUCAUUAGCAUCAUCGAUCACCGAGGCCGCUACCAGUGUGUACUCUCCUGGGACAAGAAAAUACAGAGAGAAAGAAUGCUUGAUUUCUUGAAGCGAAGGAACCUCCACAUUGAUCCCGCUCAAAACACCUACAUACAAAUCAAUCGUAAAACACAUCAGUGACACAUUGUAUUGCAUCUAUGAAAAUUGCAAUGGAAGUUCUAAUAACACUGAUUGCCAAACAAACAGUUUCAGAAAUAAACAAAAAAUAGGCAGGAUUAAAGAGGUGAUUGAAGAAAGGCAUCAUCAUAGAACAUUACCUGAACACAAGACAGUUGCCUUUGUACCCUCUACGCAAUUCUCUCCAGCAACAUCUCGGCAUGUGAUGCUAAGACUCAUCUUGAUCUUCUCCUUUGUGUUAUUACGAACCACGACUUCCAUCGGAGUCAUUUCAUGCGCCAGCACAGAACCCUUAGCUGCAGCAGAGUGAACUUGAACAUUGGGAGAAUUGUGCGAACUAGAAUUUUCAGGUUCAAGGGCAUAUCUAGAAAGCCUGAAGCAAAAUGUCAAUGGGUCUGGCAGCAGUACAUCCAUAACUGAUGUCUGAAGGGCUGCCUGUAUAGCAUCCUUGAUAUUUAGCUCCCCAGAGCUGUUCCGCCCUGAUUGCCACCUAACCUUUAUUUUAGAUAUGAGGUUCUUGAUAGAAGCAUUAAGUUCCGCUUUAGUAUUCCUUUCUGAAAAGCUUGAAUUUCUGCCACUAUUAGCCCCAUCUGCCAGAUUAUCCUUCACAAAGAAAGAAUCAUCAAGAACUGGUAAUUUAAAAUGCUCCAGUGGUAUCAGUACCCUUGCGGAGCAAUCUCGAUCAAUUCUUGUUUUAGGGUAACCAUACUCAGCAGCAUCUCGAUCUCCAGAAAGUCUAUGAUCAUGACUAAAGUUCUCCAGCUGGACUGAAACAGUAAUUUCAAAGACAACAUCAGUGGGAUUAGACAGCUCAAGUUCAAGAAAGCGCAGUCCCCAACUUCCUCUGAAAGGAUCAAUCUUCACCAAUCUGUCCAUCUUAGUUGGAGAACUAAGAGCUUCAGUAGGGCUAUCUUCUAUAUGAACUGGUUUUGGAAGGUUUUCACCCACUUGCGCAGGAAUCUCCAUUGAGAGCAGACGAGCCUUUACAAAAGACAAACCCUGCAAAACACAAAUCUGCAAAGGAACAACCAGGCGCCUGCCAGGGGGAACAGCAGAUUUAUUUGUGGCAGGAUCUCCAAUAUUUGUCAGAGGCCCUGAAAAGUAAAAUGUAAAGCAUUAUUGUCAGAAAGAGAAGUUAUUGGUACUCAUACUCACUACUCAGGAACAAGGUGCCACAGAGAUACAGAGAGCUGUAACUCAUCACUAUGAAAAAACUCCAACAGUUAACUUUAACAAUUAGUAGGAACACAUCAAUAAAAAAAAAUAAAGGUUUAGCAUUCAGUACCAAAUGCUGUGAGAGUAUAUGUGGUGUGGGUAACCUAACCUCCCUAUAUCAAAGCUAAUAAAGCCAAACUCUAGAUUGUGUGUGUGUGUGUGUGUGUGUGAGAGAGAGAGAGAGAGAGAGAGAGAGAGAGAGAGAGAGAGAGAGAGAGAGAGAGAGAGAGAGAGAGAGAGAGUAUUAUAUAGAUUUAUCAAUACCUGCAUAAUGGAUCAACAAUGUGGGGUUACUUCCAUCCUUAGAAUGCCUCACAGUGCCUCCAGAACCACUCCUGCCUGCAGUAUCUGCAUCUGCUAAGACAUGCCGCCAAGCCCUUAAGGUCACAGGUAAAGUCACUUCUGCACCAGGCCUCAACGGAAGGGCUGAGUUUAAGGUUUCAGAUGCAAUCGAGAUAACAGAAUCUUGGUUUUUUCCUGAUAGUGAUACAUGUGCUUGCUCAACUGGAACAGUACCUGCAUUAGCCAGACUUAUCCAUAAAUCAUGAAUUUCACCUUCAUGUAGAAUGAUUGCACCGUCACCCCCGACAACACGUGAUACCAGCAAUGGUAAUGGUGGUACCACAGAAAUGUUUGGAACAGAUAUAUUUUUCAACCUCGCAGACCCACAGCAUCUGAAUGGGUCAGAAAGCACAAGUCCUUGUGUAGCUCCAAGGAGCAGAUUGUCAACAUCCUUAAACAGGUGUUCAGUAAUAACACCAAAGCAGUGGACAGUGCACCCAGGAAUUGUUACCGUCCCCACCGAAGUCGGGAUCCCAGAUAAAGUGACCACCUUUGAUGAAUUGGGUGGAAGGUUUACAGUAACUGGAAAAGCAUCAAAAUUUCCUGAAGGCACUGCGAGAUAUAUACUAUCAACCCUCAAAUCAAAGCCGCAUGGGUUUGCCAGUUCGACCAAAAUCUGAACUGGUUCUCCAACAAUCCAAAUCAGCUCCUGUUUGGUGUUAGUAUUUGCAUCUCCCUUGCUAAAUGGCGUAUAAAUAAAAGGCCCAGUAUUAGCAGCUCCUGCCCACCAGUCUUCUCUUGCUGGAUUGCGCUUUACGAUGUCCAUUUGCGAAGGAUGCAUAGGAAAAGAAUACAAUCUAGAAGCAAGUAUGAUUAAAUUAGAAAAAUCCUCAAAAAAUUUGAUGAGAAUUAAAUGAAGAACAUAAUGGUGAUUUGCCUGUAUCCUUAACAUCAAUAUUCAGUUCAGGAUCACCUUAGAUAUGGGAGAUUUUUAAAAACAAAGGAAUAGAUUGUUACUCAUCGGCAAUAAGAAUAGAACACUUCUUAGCUCUACCACAGGAUCUAAGCACAUUAUAGUUCCACAAAGAGUAUAUAGGUAAAUAAAACAUUGUUUUAAAAAAAAAAAAAAAAAAAAGGCUCUAAAGCAAGUAGCCUCAACUAGACAGAAACAAAAAGUAAAUAAGAAAAACUCUAGCAUCCAUAAAAAAAUCAUCACGUUGGGCAGAGCUAGCAGGUAUUCACUUCUCAUUGCUCUGCAGUCUUUAAGAUUAAAAGGAAAAAAUAAGGAACCUUUCAAAUGAGUUUACUUCAGAUUCGUCUGUAAUUCAUGUAUCAGAAAGAUCUGUUUCAUUGCUGCUCUGCUAGAUUAAGCAUAUUAAUUGCCUUUGAAUAGAUAAAUAAUAUAUAUAAUAAUUAUGGUAAACAUAUAAUUAUUUGUUCAACUCCUAGGUAUCAUGGUCUCUGUGCAACUAUAUACUUGUCUUGCAAUAAAGACAAUGGGAAAAAAAUUACCUAGAGCACAGCAAAUAAUAUUGUUGUUGGGCUUCAUAAGAAAUAAAAUGUUCAUGUACUAACAGGAAAAAUGCAUAGGUACUGGUGAAGACCUAAUGAAAGGUAAAGCAGGGUCAGCACAGCGAGUUCCCGAGGGCAAUCUAUCUGCUGAAUUUGAAAGUGCACUAGCAAGGCCAUUUUGCCCAGCUGGUGUAAUUAAAGGAUAAUAUGAUCUUAGUAGUCUUGCAGCUGCCCCCCAGGCAGCAAGAGGAUCUCCUGCACGGACGGCAGAUAGAAGAAUUUCUCUUAGUACAACCAUCUGUAGUGUGCUCCACUGAGACUCAAAUAGAGAGACUACUGACUGGUGGAGCAUUUUCCCACCCUCAGCAAGGCUUGAUCCAAUUUCCUUCUGUGCAGAAAUAAAACCAGAAUGAGUAGCUGAAAACUUACUAAGGCUCACAAACAAUCAAAGCCACACAACAUAUAAGAAGGUUUACACAUGAAAUUUACUGGGAAAUAAGCAUGCAGACAGACCGAAAUGCAAAUUGUGACCCGGAAUUUUUUGCUUAAUACUUAUAUACUCACUUUGGAAGGAGAGUCUUCUGCGGAAGCUCUACUUUGAACACGAUAUGCUCUUGUGGUCAUUGCUAAAACUUGCAUUGCACUAAUAGCAGCCAGUCUAUUAUCUUGUUGCAAAUAUAACUGAGCUACCUGCCUCGAGAAAAAAGCAGCUUUUCGCUGAUAACCAAGAGUUCCGUAUAACCGAGCUAUUUCAACAUAUAAUACGAGUCUAUCACUGGCAUCAAUAAGAGACUUAGCACCAUCUGCUGCACUUGUUAGGUAUCCCACUACCUCCUUAGCCAGCUCUCGUCUGCCAAAAUAAACCAAAAAUAAAUCCGUAAGAUGAAAUAGUGUAAAUAAUAACUCUCUUCCUAUUAGUAUUUGUGAUCUAAUUCAACUUUUUAGAGCCAGAACAUUAUCCAGUGAGGUCGAGGGAUACAAUCAUACAAGUAAUACAUGCUGCCUUUAUCAAAUCAUAUAACGGUCAUGAACAAAUUUUACCUGCAAAGAAACCUUGCCAUUUUCAAAGUAGCCUCUAGUUCAAAAGUUAAGGGUGAAACUCUGCACAGAAUAGAUUAAUAAAAGUAACUGUUAAAAGAAUAAGUACAUAACUAAAGUAACAACCAUUUAAACACAACGGAAUCUAUGAAUUACCUCUGAGCAUGCUCUUGUAUAAAUGACUUCCUGUAGUGCGAGAUGACACUACUAUACCGAAAUCUAACUUCAUCUUCCACAGCCGAAUCCUUUUCGCCCAUUCGAUCAAUCUAACAACAUGAAUAUAUAAAUCAGUCAUAGGAAAUAAAGCAAUAAGUAAACAGAAAGCCAUGCAAGUCUACGUUACUAAGCACAGGUAACCAUGCAAAAGUCCAGAGAAGUAGCUAUUACCAGUAAGGCACAGACAUUUCCCUCCAAUGCACCAGCAUACCAGAAAAAAUCUCCAGUCAACCUAGCAAGUUCUAGUGCAGUAGUAUAAUGAGCAUUAGCAUCAACAGGUGACCCUGCCAACAAGCAAUAAUCACCCAUUGUCUUCUGGGCACGCCCAAGCCUCCGUUUCUUCGCCUUUAUAACCUGUCAUUUUCAUUGAUUUUGCACUUUACUUUUCAGUACCAAAAAAUGAUAGAAUUCAUAACAUUUAGCACAAAGAAAGAAAUCCACAUACCACCACUCCAAUUCAGAUACAACAAAACUAUAUAUUAACAAUAAUAAUAAUGAUAACAGCUUAAAAUUCUAUAGGACACCUAGACAUGAACCUCCUCUGAGUUGAGAGUAGCUUGAGAAUCCAAAGGCGUCUUGACAAUAGUCCCUGCAGGCUCAGCUUUCAGCACCCAUUUCUCAAACUCCAUCAGCAACGACGCCGCUAUGUCCUGCAUCAUCGUCUGCAAGUGAAACUCUUGCGUCGCCCGAUCUGCUGGCGGAAACAGCAUCAAGUUCCCACCUUUCUUGCUCCCAUCCUCCAACUACAACAAAAAAAAAAAUCCAAAAAGUUUCAAAUUAAGAACAAGAAAAGAGAAGAAUCCAAAAAAAUGGAGAAAAGUCUAGAUUCUGAAUCUCGAGACCUGAGAAUCGCCGGGGCAGAAGGCGAAGCAGCGAUCGACGAGGGCAGAGGCGUAGGCACGGCGAGCCGAGUCGAAUUGGUCGAUGACCGAGUCGAGAUCGGGAGACGAGGGGCAGUGGCAGAUGCCGAUGACGGCUAGGGUUUUGCGAUUGGACUGAAAGUCCUCCCAGGGGGACGGUGGGGCCCCACCGACGAUGAACUUAAACCGGAGGCUGCCGGAGUCCCAUGGCUGAUUUGAAAAUGGGGACUUCUGGUGCUCAGUGUAGAAGGAGCUGAUGGCGGAGAGAGGGAUCGUCUGGAGGCGGAGCAGCAUCGAGUGGUAGUCGCGCAGGAGGACGGGGGGCACGUGGCCGAUGGGGAGGACCGCCACGCGGAUCAUGGAGCUGGUUUCGAUGCUGACGUCCGGCUCCAUUUUUGGGCGGGGAUCGGAGAGUCAGGGGAUUAGGCGUGGGAGUGAGUGUAGAGGAUCGGGAGCAUGAGAGUGGAAGUGCCGCUGUGAGGAAGACACAGAUCGCGUUCUCGGAUUUUGGUUAGUUAAUAAGAUUGAUGGAGAGGAGGGAAAGGUGUUUGGUUGCGGAGUAAUGCGGACUCUGAUUGGGGACAGAGAUGCCCUUGGACGAGUUUAUCAUUUUCUUUUUCUAUUCCUCUAUUUAUUUUAAAAGGUGCACCUUAAAAUUAUACUUUCUUUUGGUUGACGAAGAGGGAUUGAAUUCGGGUGUGAUAGAUAGACACAUUCUCUUGAAAAACUCACCUAAUCAACGUCUAUCAAUGAAAAAUUACACUGUCAUAUGCAAUUUUGCAAAGUUGUAGUAAAACAAUUUUUAACUUAAAAUUCGUAUUACAAAAUUUUUUUACCUUCAUGAUAUAUAUAUACAUGCAGUUCUUAUCUAAUUAGAACUUUAAUGAAACAUAAACUUAUAAUUAUGUGAUUAAUUUAUAAUAUCGCAACAUAAUAUUAUCAAUUCAUUUAUGUUAUAACUACAAAUAAUAAUUUAUCUUUACAAAUAGAAGUUAAACUCAAGCACUGGUUUCAUAUGUGACAACUUUAUUCAAUGGUUGCAAUUGUCUAUACAAGUUUAACCAAAGUUUUAUAAUUUUACUUAAUUUAGAAAAAUGACAAAUAUUGCCCAAAAAGUUAUAAAAAUCUCAACAACAAAAGAAGAGCAGCGAGCAUUCGCGCCUUAUUGUUUGGAAACAAAACCCUAGUGGAACGUAAUUGGAAUUAGAAUACGCACCAACUCAUCUUCUUCUAGAUUGAGAAGGUGCAGCGACACCAUGGCGGACCAUCUGCAACAGUCCUCGCCCCUUCUUCAAGAGAUCCUAAACUCGUUGUCCAAUUCAGUUGAUCAACCGCAAAGCUCAGUGUCAGAGCUCACCAGCUUCCUCGAUUCAGUCCUAGACGCCGCUCUAUCAGACCCAGACAAUGAAGAUGCAGAAACCAAUGCCUUCCUAGCUCUCACCGAAGUUCACAACUUUAUCUCUUCCCCGUCACUGGACCAGGUUUCAUUUCAUCAAAUUCUUCUUCAUUUUGUUUAAAUUUUCGGUCUUUGUAAAUUGUAUGGUUUGAUGUUUACGAACUGUUUGUUGGUUUGCCCAGGCGAUCAUUGAUUCAAUCUCAUUUGAGCUGCCAAUGGCAGUUUCCAAGUUUGGUGGUGUCUCUGAGAGAUGCCUGGAGGUUGCUGAGAGCAUUAUUGAUGGCGUUAUAUCACUGUGUAGUCCGCGAGACAUGCUUUCAAUUCUUUGUGAGGUAUGAAUGUUGCCUUUUUAGUGCAUUUUAUCUCAACUUUUUGUAUUGUUUGUUCUGUUGGGUUUUUAGCUCUUUGAUGAUUUUUUUUAUUGUACUUGGGUCAGGCAUUAGCUCCCCCAAUUGAGACCAUCAGGGAUUCUGGUUAUGUUACGCCUCUUCUAAAUGGGCUUUCAAAAGGUAACUUAUAUGAGCUUCCCUAAUGGUAUUGUUAUCAGAUUUAUUGUAUAUGUCAUAGAUGGAUAUUGAAUUUUACCAAUUGAGUUGAUGAUAGCACUAUUUUGUUAAUUUUAUGUUUCUUUUUUCUUUUGUUAAUUUCAGUGUUUCUUUCCCUUCAGAGGCGUCACUUUGAGCAAGUGAAAGUAGCAGUUCCUAUUAUCGUUAAAGUUUUGAAGGCCAGGUCUUUGGAGUUGGAAGAUGAAGAUCCAGAAUUUAAGAAUUUGUUUGACAGAGCUAUGAGCAUUGCUAAUUCCAUACGUGCAGUUUGUGUAAAGUUGGUAUGUGACAAAUUGAUGCAAUGGUUUUUCCUGGUUAGAGACUAUGCUGAGAUUCUCAACAUAUUCUGUAUCAGAACCUAAUGAUGUUUUGUUCUAUGCUACAGGAAGGUGGAGCAAAUGAUAAGCUUCGUGCACUACUUGGUCUUUAUGUCUUACAGAUUAUGGUCAAACCUCCAUACAAUCUAAGUUCUAGUUUCACUGUUCUUUUUUUUUUUUUUUUUUAUCUGUGUUAUAUAUCUACCCAAAAAAAAAAUUCAAGCUAGACUCUUUUAUAUAUCAUGCCUCCCAUAUUUGGUUUGCUUUGUUUUUUCUUUUAAAAACACUGUUGAUCUGCAGGCUCUUGUCAGCAUGAAUCACAAAGUUUCAAGUUCUCAGCCCUUUGUAUUGCAACUGUCUAGUUUCUUCCCAUUUUGUGGUUUGACGUAUCUUGGUGUAAUAACUGGAUCUGUUGUUGACAUAAUAUCUAGGACAGUUGGAGGUAAAUCCCUUGAAUCACUACUAUUCCUGCCCAUGUAUUAUAUGAUAUUUCACUCUAUUUGUUAUCCAAUUUUAGACCUUGAUGUUUCUUUUCUGUUCUUAAUUUCUGCACACAGAGGAUGAAGAUGAUUAUAUGAGUAAUUUAUCCGAUGUCAAGCAUGGGGCAUCUCUUUCAGGUUUAUGUUUCCGAAUGCUGAUUGCUCCUUUUCUUAUUGUCUCAAUUUUUUUCUAGCUUGAAACUUUGUUUUGCUUUGGUUUUUUCUGUUGCUUUAUUGAAGUGAUCUGGGGCCAUGCCUCUGAUGAGGUUGUUAGAGCUGCUGAGGAGGAUUUGGCUUCUGUCAGGGAUGAACUUAAGAAUAACCAAACUAAAAGGUGGCAAGCUGUUGGCAUGCUAAAGCACAUACUAGCUCCUGUCACUCUGCCAUGGGAACUUAAAAAACAUGCCAUCAACUUCUUGCUCUGCGUUACAGAUGGAAAUAUCCCCCACUAUGAUGAACAUGAUGACUUCUCAUCUUAUAUGUCUAGCAUUUUUGCUACUCUGCAGGUUGCCUCUUGCCAUCAUUAUACGUUGCAGGAGUUUCAUAUUUAUCGAAGAGGAAAAGAGUCUAAUCUGUUUUUUUUUUUUUUUACCUCUUGUGGGCAUGGUACAUUUUAGGCUGUGCAAAUGGUCAUCAUAUAUGCAUCAGAUACAGUGCUCCGAAAGAAUGCCUUUGAAGCAUUCAAAAGGGUGAGGAUUUGUGUUAUUUUUCCUCAGUGUUGCGUUUACCUAUAAUAUAUGUAUUCUGUUACAUUUUUAAUUAGCGAGUAAUAGCUCAGCCUAUGGUCAUUUAGUAGUAAGCUUUUGCAUAGAAUGUACUCUACUUCGUCUGGUUUAGAGUAAAUUAACAUUAAUACUUACUUAUGUUUACCAUCAAAACCAGAUUCUUGCUGAUAUUCCAACUUCUCAGAGGUUUGACAUUUUAAAGGCUUUGAUCACAAAAAGUGAUUCUUCCUCUAUGGUAAAACCUUGAGCGCCAGUUUUUUUGAUAUGUAUUCCUUCCUUUUUUUCGUCUAAUUAGACUUGAUGCGACAUUACCUAAUGUGGGUGUUUCAACCUUAUACAGAUUGCAAUCCUUUUAGAUAUUGUUAAAGGGGAAAUGCACAAGGAAAGUCGCCAUAGACUAGGAAAUGACGAAGUUCUGCAAGCAGAGUAUAAAUCACAUCCACAUACAGUGCUUUGGACUCCCAAUGUCCUUGCAUUGGUGGAGAUGAUUCUAAGACCUCCGGAGGGGGGACCUCCAUCCUUUCCUGAGGAUAGUGAUGCGGUAUUUCUUCCACGUGCUUUGUUAAAUUCUUUUUAUAAAUUUCUUAUAAUACUGAAUUCUCUAUGUUUGAUAUACCAAUAUAUUAUGCAUGAUAUUUAUUUUAUGUCGAUGAGUUUCAAAUCUAAGAUUGCAAUAGCGUCUAAAGAUAUGUUUUACAAUCCCUUAGCUGUCCCACAAUUAGGGAUGCUUGGUUCGCUUUCAACUAGGAUUGGUCUCGUGCAACCAUAGAUUCGCCUAAUGUAGCCAGCCAAUAAUCUUGUUUAACUGCUACAAAUACAAAUCUUCAAAUCUCUGCAGUCUUGGAUUCCUGAACUUAUCUUCUUUUCCUCCCUCGCGUCUUUGGACAUAUUGUCAUCUUUACCAAUAAUGGAACCAUGUUAUGUGGAGUAUAUUCUUCACUUGCACAAUUGUUGCUGUAUGUCGUUUCAUUGCAUAGCAGUUUUUAGUUGCACAAUAGGCCAAGCCCUCAUGAAAUGAACUGACAUGAAGAUAUUUGAGUAUCUAGGUUUUGUCUCUGUCAAAGAUAUUUGAGGUCAAAUUUGAUGUCAAUGAAAGGCAACAAAAUGACAAAAACAUGCCUUAAUUGUCAAGACUCAGUACCGAGUACAGACGCUUAUUGUUUAGGCUUGUUGAUGCUUAUUGGUUAACCUGUUCUGAAUCGUUUGACAAAGUUCCGUACUAUUUCUACAGGUUCUGUCUGCACUCAACCUGUACAGAUUUGUAUUAAUAACAGAAUCAACAGGUAAAUAUCCCAUCAUUGAGUUAAAGCAAUAGCGAAUGUGGAAAACAUCACAGCAAAUUAUAUUGUGUCGUGUGAGUCUUUACUUUUUCCUUUAGAAAGAAAAUGCUUGUUUACGAGUCUCAUUUUUUACUAUUUUUACCCUGAUUAAAAAUGGCACAGGAAAAACUAACUACACCGGAGCGGUGUCCAGAAGCAAUUUACAGAGAGCCUAUAACGAGUGGCUUCUACCUCUACGUUCUGUGGUCACAGCCAUAAUGGCAGAGAACAAGAAUGAUUGUGAUCUUUCCCUUGACGCAUUUUGUAUUUUAAACCCAAUAGAAUUAGUUUUGUACCGCUGUAUUGAGCUUGUUGAAGAUCAGCUCAAACAACACUCUGCGUAAAAGUUGCCAUCACUGGCAUGUGUUUUUCUAGUAAUUCAAAACCCACUCAUAGAACUAUAGAUCCAAAGUUUUUACACGGGCUAGCAUCUCUCUUUUGUAUUUCAGCUAUAGAUACUCUUCCAUUUAUAUAGACGAGUGUUGGUUUUUUUCAUAGCAAGGAUCUAUCUCUUGGCCAUCAAUUCAUGCCACGUGGCAUGAUCUGAGCAGUUGAUAUCAUAAGCACUUUAUCUAUUCAAGGAGCAAAUGUUGUUCACUUGAUGCCAAAAAGAACCACCAAUGUGAUUGCUUUAGACUUUUCAGCAAAAUGGCUCGGAAUGUGGUUCAUGCGUCGCGUCCAUCAUCGCAUUUUCCUUUGGGUAAAAAUGCAAAACCAUCAGCACGCGCGUUCCACAUUUAAUACACCUAGUCUCAUUAAAAAUACCAUUUUCUCAACAAUAAAAAAAAGCACAAUCAGAUGGUUUAUUUAUGAUGACUUUAUAUAUAUAUAUAUAUAUAUAUAUUUAAAUGUUAUUUGCACUCCAAAAAUUAACCUCUUUCCCACCCUCCUUAUGUGUAGGCGCAUGGCAUGCAGACGAGUUCAUGAAGUCAAAGUUUAAAGUGCUUAUUUAUAUACAAUAAUAUAAUCAUGACUUUCUACUUUAAGGGACGCGUGUCUGCAUAUAUAAUUAUGGUGUGGAUGGAUGUCCCAAAGUACACAAAAUUGACAUCAAAUUUAUGGACACAAAAAUUGACAGACUAAUAUUGUCAGAAAAAAAAAAAUAAAAAAAAUAAAAAAAAUUGAAAUCUUAAAAUAAUCAAUAAUACAAUGAGUCAUUGACACCUGUCCGAAAGUUGCAAUUUUGGUGACUGAAAACUAUAACUUGGAUUUCAGAUAGGGUUUUUAAAACCUACAAAGAAUGAUACAAAUUUAUGAUCUAAAUAAUUUGAACAUUAGAAGUAAUGAGGGUUUACCCCAAAGAAUUUUCCAGAGGAAAGCAGCAACAGCUGUGACAUAAACAGAAGCCUCUACAGCCUAAUGGCUAUGACUGCUAAUUUACUAAAAACCCUCAAAACUUAGGUAAAAGGGAUCCAGAUCAGGUUAUAUCUGUAACUUCACUGGAUACGCUCCGACUGACCUCUACUUGUACUACUUAUGAAGAGCUAGUUCCUGGAAUGCGCUAUGUUAUACUGGCAUAUCAAUCAGUUUCUUCAUUGAAAGCAUAAUGCAUUUACUCAUGCUUUCCUCAGCUCAUCCCGUAUAGCGUUUCGGAACCAGAUUCCUCUCCGCACGGCUCCAUGUUUAGAUCAGGCAGCAAGAAAGAAUUGUCUCGGGCUGAAACGGCCUCGCGUUCACUGUAAGAAUCGGAUUGCGCUUCUGCAUGUGGAGGCAAAUUUGAGGGAAUGCCGUAGGUGCUCGACGCUGUUCUCUCGUGGGGUUGACUGGAAAUUGCUUUCCCUGCUCCAUCAAAGUUUGCGCUCAAAUUCCUAGCAGGAUGCAUGUUCAAGUCGAGCUGCAAAACAAAAUUAUAAGGUAUUCAGCCAAAAAAGCCAUAGCAGAUGCAAAUAAUUGUAUCCAAUCUAAAGGACAAAAGGGCAGAUCCAGGAGAAAGGAUCCUAGAAGAAAAAUAGUAUAUAUAUAUAUAUAUAUAUAGGAUAAAGAACACCAGAAUUCACCUUGAUUCUCUUAAAGUUCUCAUUUUUGGCUCUUUGUUGCUUAAAAGUUGCUUGUAAGGUCGCUAUUUCCUUUUCCAAAUAUGUCCUUUCCUUCAACAACGAACUUUCCUCCUCCUUAAGCUCAGCAAAUGUCUGAAAAAUGACAUCCAAGUCCAUAUCAGAUCGAAGUUAAAAAGCAUCCUAUUGCAGAUUAGAAAAUGACAGUAACUAAACAAACAAAUAAAAAAAGAAUCAAAACAAAUCUGGAAAACUAAUUAAUUCUCAAUUCUCAAUGCAUUCUUUUAAAUAAUUGUUGUUUGUUAUCUUGAACAUGAAACCAAGUGGGGGCCAAAAAGAAGAUUUGGGUUUACCUUCUUUCUCCUUGCCCUCUUGGUGGCAGUGGUGGUGCUGGUGGAUUCAUACGUAGCAGUUCCCUGAGAGACAUCAAUGCAAAACACACUUCAGCAAAUACACCCACAAAAAGCAAAAAGAGAACAUAUCAUAAAAGGACACCAAAAACAUCCAAAAACCAAUUUCUUUUCUUUUCUUUAAAUCUCAAAACUUUCACCAAUCCAGUAGAAGCCUGCAAUAAUUAUUCCUUUGCCAAUUAAAUUUACCGUUUCUCUGGACUUUGGAUAAAGCUUCCCCAUCCCAAUGAUGAGUAAGCUUAAACCCAUUUAGAAAUUCACAUCAUGAAUAUCCACGUGGCCUGGCCACACAUGACAAGCUCCUUAUUUUAUUCCUCACGUGACUUGCUCACAUGCCUCUGCUUCUCCUCCCAUGGCCUCCUCUCCUCCAUAGUCCAUACAAACAUUGCCUCUCGCUUCGCUUCCUUCCACACCGAACCCAAAUCCCCUCGUCCAAAAAUAAUAAAUAAUAAAUUAAAAAAUAUAUCGUAAUUCUUUAAACUAAAUAAGCGACAAGGACCACAGCCACCACUCUCACCAAACCAUCCUUGACCGUCAGAUUCACAUACCCAAUAAAACUCAAUCCCCCAAUCAGCGGCCACAACCAUCCCAUCGAGUUCCUCUGGAUCUCCAGAAAACAUAAGAAAAAGAAAAGCGUUAUCAAAGGAGAUGAUGGUCCAUAAAAGCCGCUGACUGCGCCCGCGCCACAGAGGAAAAUUACCCCAGCAACCCCCACUAACAACGCCACACCAAAACCGAACGCAGACCUAUCCCUAAGCCAAACUCACUUCCCCCAAAUGGCCCCACCACGCUUUUAAGAUAGGCCCACGUCACCACCACACCCUACUCCCCUUUUUAUUACUAUGACCGAAAUACCCUCCUCCUGUUUGCUAUGCCCAUCUAUAUUCGUACUUUUGACUCGACGCGAGAUGCGACUUUUGUCGCGAGCAAAAAGGGAUCAGACGAGUAAGCUCGUCGUCUCAGGGAAAUUUCGCGGUUUUCACUCUCUGCGGUAAAUCUCGGAAUUGACGGGAGUGUCCUUUGGUGAUCACAAUCUAGGGAGGAGUUUGGAAGGGUAGUUUGGUAAAUCUCGCAGGCGAAUCAAGAAAGGCAGGUUACCGGCAAAAGGAGCGAGACGAAAACGUGAAGGAGGUCUCGAUCUGCUACAUCACGUGAGGGAUAUGGAAAGGCACACGCGGGUCGGGGGCAUUUUGGUCAUGAAAUUGUGCGAACGACGUCGUACACGGCGGCUAAAAAGGGUUGACCGCCGGCGAUUAUCGAGCUAACCAAAGAAGGAAAAAUCUAAAGAAGAUAACGAAAUGACGAAUUUGACCUCGUCAGCAUUAGCAGCUCAAGAGACGACAAACGAAACGCGAUAGGAAAUCAGAAACGUCGGUUUCGAAAUCCAGAUUAGAAAACGGAAAAACUGAUGACAAGGUAAAUUAGGUAGAGGAAGAAGGCUGAAGAUGGUAAAGUGAAAAAGAAGCCAUGAAAUGCGUGUGUCGUCGACGAACACGCUAAAAGCCUCAGCCGCCUCAUGAACACUGAGGCUCGUGCGGUUCUGGUCUCUGCUUAUUAGCAGAACCAGACGCAAAUACGAACAACCGCCGUGGGUAUUUCCGUCAAAUAACAAAGAGACUCGAAGAGUCUUCACUUCAUACACAGCAAGCAGAGAUCAGCUAACAGGAAAUCCAAAGCACAAAAAAGCGAAAAGCAGAGAAAGAGAGAGAGAUGGAGACCUUGGAUCUGGGACAGCUGGACUCUUCGAAGCCGUCGGCGGUGGCGGAGGGGGAGCCGGUGCCGCCGCUCCAGGAGAGCGGCGUGGUGGGGCUGCAUCUAGUGGCGGAAUCGGUGCCGUGCUUGCUGAUGUUCCUCUGCCGCGAAACGACGCCGUCGAAUCUGGACGCCGAUGACGCUGACUUGGAGCGUGGCAGCCGGAUGCCCCACCUGAGCGGAAUCGACUCCAACAACGGAGACGAGGAAGACGAGGCGGCCGUCUGCGACUGCUUGAGCCGCACCAGAAGCUCCACGACGAGCAUGUCGUCGGUCAUCGCCGCUCUCAUCCACUCGUCUUUGACCACCAUCAUCUCAGCAAAUGGUUCUAGAAAGAGAGAGAGAGACAGAGAAAAGGCUUUAGAGAGAGAAAGUAGGGUGGCGGAUGAAUGAAUGAGAGAAGAAAAGGAGAUGGGUUUUGAAAAAAUAUAUAUGGGGGGUGGGUCAGGAGGGGUGGUGGCGUUAAAUAUAUUUGUGUGUGUGGUGAAGAAAGUGGGAAAAAUUGAUUCUUCAGUUUUUUUUUUUUUUUUUUUUUUUGGGUUUUGUUUUGUUUCUUCUUCCUCUUCUCUUCUCUUCUCUUCGCUUGGUGUUGUUGUUAGGGUGGGUCUCGUCUGUGUGACUCUGACUCUUUUUCUGCUCUUUCUUUUUAAUUUUCUUAAUUUCUUUUUUUUUAAAGUGCUGGGCCCACAUGGUGACGUGUGUCGCUGACAAGAUUCAAUUUGUCAUGGGUUAUUAUUGGGUUAUUCCCUUCUUAAUUGGGGGAUUUGUGAUCACGAGUAACGAAACGACAGCGUUUUGCUGUCCAUCGGCUUGCUCCCCUGCUUUGCUUUGUGUGAUGCGUUCCUUUUGUGCGCCAAAGGGGCAAAGGGCAUGAGCAUGACCACUUCAAACUUUACGGCCUAUAUAUAUAUAUAACUUUAAUUUACUUUACCAAAUCCAAAAUGCUUAGCCUAACAAAUAUAUAAACAAUGUUUGCUUCAAAUUUCCGUCUCCAACUCUAUCUUUCAACUUUCUUUUCAACAUGUUUGCUAAAUCGAAUAAAACAUCCAAUCCAAACCUCUACAAUUCCACAAUUCACUCGUAUACUUAAAACUAACUCAAGUUUAAAACACAAGGAACUCAUUUUUAAAUCAUUAAUACACAAUAUGUCAAAACACUUUUAGGUAAGUUGAAGAAAGAAAGAAAAAAAAUGAGAGUUUUAAUUUUAUUUGAAUUUCAAUUAUUACAUAUCAAAUAGCGUUGUCUUGUUUGCGCUUUUCAAAUUCUUGUUGUCACUCUCGCUUGAAUGAACGAACACAAAAUAGAUGUUUUUUGCCAUUUUAUAUUAGUAUAUUGUUAAUUUGGCACGACGCGCUAAAAUUAAUAUUUUAAAUUAUUGGUAUGUUAAUAUAGCAUGCCAAACUAUUUAGUAUAAUUGAGGUUCGAAAUCCAUAACGAAAAGGAAUUAUAAAACUAUUUAGUAUAGUUGAAAACCAUUAUUAGAAAGUUAGGUGGACAAUGUUUAAGCAUGAAGGGUUAUACUAAUCACUUAAUAUAACAAUCGAUCCAAAGGCAAAGUUAUUGCCUUUCCAUAAGUAUCUUACCACUUCUAGUAACUCUAAAGAUUCUUUGAAACAGAAAAACUUACGAGUGACAUGAAACUUGAUCUUAUCAUCACCUUUACUUUUUUUUUUCUUUUUUUUCAAAUUUUAUCUGUCAAUAAAACAUCAGCAACUUAAUUUGGUCUGCUCUGUUUCAUCAUAGAAAAUUCAGAAAUGUUUAUCGGCAUGAUUCAGAAGGGUUUGCAAGUAAAUGUUCUGCAUGAUAAAAAAGCUAGCAAGCUUCUUGAUAAGGUUGCCUUUUUGGGUUUCUGAACUUUACUAUUAGGCUCGUGAACUGGGGAGGGUUUAUCUCUUGCCUAUUCGGCUGGAAAUAUCUAUUUGCCAAUCACACUACUUUCAUACUGUAUUCUUUUCUAGGUCAUAAAUUUCCGCUAAAAGUGUAAAACCAGUCGGAUUAUCACCAACGUAAUUUGAAUGUGGUAUAACUAGACUGGGUGUGACACAACCACAAAAUAAAUCGAGCUUGCACAAGCAUGAUGGAUGUACUUAUAAUGUGCAGCAAACGAGUAUGAAACAACCACAAAUGUCUAACACAUCAAAUAAGAGUACAAGCCGUGGCAGAGCCACUCCUAGACCAAAAGUGACACUGGCCCCCCCAAUUUUUCACAUCUCUCUCCUCUAAUAUAUUAUACAACGAGUAAUAGACAACUUUUAAUUUAUUAAUGGCCCAUCUAAAACAAAUUAUACAUAUUAAGUUAGAAAUAUUUUAGCUCUAACAUGUAAUUCUUGAAAACUUAUGCAUUUGAUAUAUUUGUAUUUUUCUAUCCCCCCUCUCCUCUAACCUUACAAUUCUAGCUUCGCUCCUUAGUACAAGUAACAAAAUGCAAGCACAAACAUGAAAUAAACUUUUACUAGAACGAUGGACGACAUAGUUAAUAUUUUAUUUUCUCCGUUUUGUUUCUUUUUGGCAAUGGAUCAUGGGGCUCGAUGAAAAUUCUGCAGGACCAUUCUUUAUCAGCUGCAUAUUUAUGGAAACCCUCGAAAUUGUAAUGAAAAAUUGAAAACAUUUGCCCUUUCUGGGAACCAGCAUCAGCCCUCUAGGGAAUGGAUAUCACAAAUCUAGUUGGUGUGAAGGAUAUUCAUGGUUCGAAAAUGCGGUUGGUGAACCCAAAAAAUGCAGGACCUAAUUUUAUACUGCUGCUGGAUCCAAAAUAACUUUGAGGCAACGAGUGUGAGUUAAUGGGAUAUUCCGCUAAUCAAGGCCUUAAUGUGGGUCGUGGCCUCAUAAAAGAGUUUGGUCUAUCAAAGUACAGGGCCGUUUUUAUUUGGAGUCGUUCGUGUUCAUACAAACUUUUAUUGCCCAAGCAUAUACUUUAUGUGAUAUUAAUCUGUCACAGUAACAACUUUUGCUUUGAAAGUCUAUUUUUUCCUUUUAAUUUUAUUUAAUUAUUAAUUUGAUCAAUACACUUUAGACAAGUAUUAGAAAUUAGGUUACGGAUUUUUUUUUUAAAUUUAAAAUUAGGGGUUCUUGAUGUACUGAUCAAUUUUUAGGCUGUCCAAGAAAGAUUUUGUAAACCCAAAUAGACGAAUAGCAACUCCUAACAGCCCAUAAACAUUGCGUGGUACAACGGAAUGUAGUCUAGUCUAAUGAAAAAAUGCAUUAACUUGCAAACUAAUAUUCUCAUGUUCAAACUGCAAACUGCAUCACCAAGUUUCAUGGACCAAACAUUUUCGCACACUAAUUGCUGGUGCACCUUCAUAACCUAAAUAUGACAAAGCUAUAAAACUAAAUAUUAAUUAAAAGAAAAGGUAUCACACCUCCAUAUUAAUUUAUUUUUGGUAUAAAAAUUUCAACCUUCACUCAUUUAAAGAGUUCGUUUGAGAGUGAUUUUGGAUAGACAACAUUUUUCACACCUCCUGUAAAGCUUCAUAAUUUCUGAAACUGAUGCAAACGUCUUUUGAAGCUUUGGUCCAGAAGGCUCACAGCUCAGCAUCCCACAUUUGGGCCUUACCAAGACCAAAAGCAAAACCAGUAGAAGUCACCAAAACUGUCCCUAACUGAGCUGCAGACCCUUCCACUGACAUAAAAAGUGAUUCUGUUUAUUGGGAAGCCAUCUGCUUUUCUUUACCUUUAAGAAAACGAAAAAAAAAAGAAAUGCUUUUUAGCUUUUACUUUUGACAGCUCCAACCAAAAGCACUGUUGUAACCCAUUUGAUUUUUACUAGCUUUACAACCCAUGUUGUUCAUCAUAAUCUCACAGCAAUUGAACUUUCCCAGAAGUCAAUUCCCACAAAUCAAACCCCAUUUCUGUUUGCUUCAAUUUGUAAUUCCAUCAAACACCAAUAUAAUUAAAACCCAAAUUUCACUAACAACAUAUUUGCAACUAUAAGUAAAAACUUAGGACACAGAAUAUACCCUAAUUUUACAGAUACAGCUCAUGAAAAACUAUACCUUCCAACCCUAAUCUAAUCUUAUACUUGUACUGUAAGACACAAAGGAAAUGCAACCAAACCCUAAUUUAAUUGAAAACGAAAAACAAAUUUAAAGAAACAAGAAAAAUGAAGCCUUCUACUGCUGCACAUAAUCUAAAGAGAAGAAAAAGCGUUAGGUCGAAUUGUGACCUCAUCCAUCUAUCUUCCCACGAAAAGAUAAGGGGAAGGGCGAGAAUCAGACAACACGAACAUUAGCCAGACGGGGUCUCUAUACUGCUGCACAUGCUUGGUCCGCCAUGGACCGGCGACCCAUCUACGACAAAUUGAGCCGCAGAAGCUUCAGCAGCACGCUUGCAGCUUCAUCGGUGCUUGAAGGGGCGCUCUUCUUUGCGAAGAACGACGGCAGAGGUAGGGACUCCGGGGGAGGCGCAGCUAUACACGACGACGACCCGGCGUAGAACCCGGAAGCCCAGUUCCGUUCCGGAACCUUCUUCGAGUCAGGACCCAUCCGGCUGGUGGAUCCGAGAUCCGGAACCUGGGGAUUGGGAUUCUGCUUCUGUGGUGACCGAACCGGAGUCGCUUUGGGGAUUUCGUCGCCGCGUUUUAGGAUUUUGACCUGGCCCAUGACGAUAUUCUUGGGGGCUGCGGGUUUCUGGACCGGAGAGGGUGAGUUGUUGUUGGGCCGGGUCGGCCUUCGCUUCUUCCGGUCGGUUUGGGGAGAGGUUCUGACCCGAUUAGGGUUAGGGUUUCGAUUGGGAUUCAUCAGCGCUUGCUGAGGUGAGAGAGAGUCUUUGAGGCAAUUCUGGGGACUGAGAACUUGAACACCCAUCUAAAAUCUCACAAAAUCAGAUCCAAAAAUUCGAGCUCUUGCUACGAAAGAGAAGGAGGAAAUGAAAAACUUUGGGAAUUUACAGAGAGAAAUGUGACUGUGUGAAGAUUGGGAAGGAAGUAGGGUUGAGUUUUAUAGGGGAAGAUAAGAGACCUGAAGGGAAUAGGAGUAGGAAAAGCGACAAAAGGCGGUAGUGUAUAAUAGAAUCCACUUUCAUCAACCCCCCCUUGGGGGUUUCCUUCCUACACCGGUUUUUAGCCAUCAUUAUUGUUUCCCUUCACGAAUCUCAAUUAGGUUUCCUUUCCUUUUCUUUUUAGGAAAACGAUUACGUUUCCCAAAACACAUUUUGGUAUUAUUAUUUUCUUAGUGAUUUAGAAUUCAAACUUUUCUUGUUGAGGAAGAAAGUGCCCGAAAUUAGAUAUUAUGUUGUUUUUAGGUUUCCUAAAACACAUUUGUUAUUUUUUAAAGUGACUUAAAAUUCAAACUUUUCUUUUUGAAGAAGAAGGGACCCAACUUUUAAAUGUGUUACCAAAAUUCCUUAUUAUUGUGUUUAUCACAACUCCUAUUCUUAAGUAAUUAUUACAAAUUCUGAAAACUUCUUCGGAUGCUUCUCAUAGCUCAGCAUCCGAGACCAGCAGCACAACCAAUAACAACCACCAUAAUUUUCCCUAGCAAAGCAUGGGUUUCAAUUUAGGAGCUUCUCCGCUUAACCAGUACUUAGCUGCAGACCCUUCCAUCGGCAUGGAUUAUGUUUUUGGGAAGUCAUCUGCUUUUGUUUACCCUUACAAUCCAUUUGGUUCGCAUAUUGAAACUCUUGAGAAUGAAUUUCCCAUGUUUAAUCUCAUGAGUUGAGAAUAGAGGAUGCUCAGUCCUAUAUUUGUAAAAGUUGAGAAAUGAGGAUUAUGAAAGGUCAUUUUAUCACAUUCCCAUUGGUUUGUGGAGUAUUAGGAAUUAAAAUUGUUCAUCUUUCCAACAAUAUUCUUAUCUUUUUUUUUUUAAUUAAAGAGAAAUAAAUACGAAGAGUUUUUCUAAGAGUAAAAUAUGGUAUUUUAAAAAUAAGAUAUGGGUAAGUUAGCCAUAAAAAUUUGAAUUAAAUGCUUUCCCAUGUGGGGGAAAACAAAUUCCCAAGCUCAGCCAGGGUAUGAAAUUCCCUUUACAUGGGAAGUCAACACCCACGAGUCUAUAAUUGCAUUUCCAAUAGUGUACUUACUAAACAUGCGAAUGGAAUUUCAAACUAAUUCUCAAAUUCCCAAAUUUUGAACUAAACGAGACAUUAUGGUGUGUUUGGUUCAGGGAAAAUGGGGCUUGGGAUAGGAAAUUAGAAUUUUCUCAUGUUUUAUAAACCGAGUCAUAGAAAAUGAUUGCCUGACACAUGAGAAACUAGGAAAAAUUAAACUCUCAAACCCCUGAGGUGAGCAUUAAAUGCACAUUUUUAUGACUAUUUUGUCCAAUUCACAAUUUAUCACUUUGACUAUUCUUUUAUUUUAUUCAAUUCAUAUUUUUAAAAUGGGUAUACUUUAUAUUAAAUUUGUUUUAUAUUUAUACACAAACCAAACAUAAAAAAUUAAAUUCAAUAAUUUUUCACCUUCCCAAUAUUACCAAACAUAGAAAAAGAAUCAUCCUAUCAUCCAUAUCUCAUCUCUUGUAAAAGACAUUGAAAAUGAUUUCCCAUCAAAUCUUUUGAUCGACAGAACUGCUUUUGUCCUUUUGCUUUUGAUAACUCCAACCCAACCCAAACCACAAAGUCUCCAUAAAUAACCAUACAAGUUCAACAAAACCAAACAGAGUCCAGUGAAAUUCUGAGGUAAACAUUUGAUUUACUACCUUCACCAAGAAGUUCCAAGUUAGAACCCAUGUUCAUCAUAAUCUGUCAGCAAUUGAACUUUCCCAGAAGUCGAUUCCCCACAAAUUUCCAUCAAACACCUCAUACAUACACAACACAGCCAUCUCCAAACCCCAAAUUUAAUCACAAGAACAAGAUAAAGGAAAUUAAGAGUGCAAAAGAGCAGACAAAACACCAAUGGAAUUAAAAACCAAAUUAGACUUAACAAAUUGCUUGCAACUACAUCGUAAAAACUUGUGGAUACAUGUACACAAAAUAUACCCUUAUUUAACAGAAACAGCUCCUAAAAAACUAUACCUCUCAACCUUAAAUAGUACGACACAAAAAUAAAAGCAACCCAACCCUAAUUUAAUUGAAAACAAAAUGCUAAAAAUUGGAGCCAACCCAAGUUACCAACUACUGCUGCACAUAAUUAAAAUCCCUAACCCAUAAAUUAAUCUAAAAAGAAGAAAAAGCGUUAGGUCGAAUUGUGACCUCAUCCAUCUCUCUUCCCACGAAAAAAUAAGGGGAAGGGCGAUAAUCACACAACACGAACAUUAGCCAAACGCGGUCUCUACACUGCUGCACAUGCUUGGUCCGCCAUGGACCGGCGACCCUUCUACGACAAAUUG
rnacentral:lncRNA from 1 species